UAGGGAAUCUUCCACAAUGGACGAAAGUCUGAUGGAGNAACGCCGCGUGAGUGAAGAAGGUUUUCGGAUCGUAAAGCUCUGUUGUUGGUGAAGAAGGAUAGAGGCAGUAACUGGUCUUUAUUUGACGGUAAUCAACCAGAAAGUCACGGCUAACUACGUGCCAG
rnacentral:rRNA from 1 species